rnacentral:lncRNA from 10 species
UGCAUUUAUACAUAUUUAUAAUGUGUAUGUUUUACCUUUGGUUUCUAUGAUUUAUAUUUAUAUAUAAAUAUACAUAAAUUUAUAAAAGUGGAAGACUAGCUGGAAACCAGAAUCUGACUUCAAACAGUCUCUGGUAAAAAUAAAAUUUCCCAGUUAGUUUGUAAAUUCGUUUUUUGAAAUUUAGAAAAUAGUAUCUCAUUGGACCAAUAUUUAUAAAUUGUUUCAUUCCCAGGUAAGUCCACAGAAGUCUAUUUAAUUUAAAUAAAUUUUAGUACCAUGCUUAAGAGAUAAACUAUUUUCCUUUUUAUAAGUUUGUUUUGUUUUGGUUUGUUUCUUAAAGGAACUGGUUUUUAGCAAGGAGACCAAGAAACUCUACUCCCUAGGGGCUAGCAAUGAGAGAAAGGAAGCCUUGAGUCUUUGAGCACAGGGUGACAGUUUGGGUCCUAUGUGAGAUGAUCAAAUCCACAGCAACAGAGGAAAGGACAAAAGGAAAAGAUACUUCGAUGGAAUCAGCAGCCAUUGAUCCAAUGCCAACUCCAAGACUGGAACGUCGCAAUGAUAGUUCCAAGGCGGAAAUUUGACGUAAUUCUUUUCGACACAGUUUUACAGGUCUGGAUGCCCAUUUUAAUUCUUCUGAAAGCAUGCCUCCUUCUGGCUUCAGGACUCCAUCUCCAGCCUUAUGAUCUAAAAAUAAUCCCCAAACCAAAAAAUUAGAUAUUAUUUCCUCAAAAUUAGGUGUUUUAAUCAAAACAUCUUAACAUAAAUACAUUAUUAUCACCCAAUAUGCAUAAUGUUGUUCAACUUUUUUGUUAAAUGACUUAUUUUAGAUGAACAGAUGUGUGAAUAUGAAUAUUUUUAUUUCACUUACAGGCAUCUUGCAUGUGAAUAACUCACAACUUUAAUUCAUGGAACAAAUUGAGAAAUAGUCUUUUGGGGGUUUGGUACUCCCUGGAAACAUAAGAGUGCUUUGGGCACCUCUGGUGCCUUUCCAUGCCUGCCUUCUCUGCUGUUCUUGCUACUAGUGAAUUCUAAAUCAUGGCCAAGUGAUGCCAGCACUGGAUAAUAUUGGCUCUGCCCCAUAUCUCGAGGGAAAACUCUGGGACUUGGCAUUAUAUGUGUGGGAAUCUGGCCUUGGUUGGCACUCCCAGCAUGAUAGCAGGGUUCUGCUGUCUGAAUGUACUCUGGGGUGUGCGCCACAAUUUCUGUCAUCGAAAUGGAGAUGAGAGAAUAUGCCCUUGGUGGGGACACCCCACUGGAAUUAGAGUGAAGAGAUCAAAGCUAGAGGUUCUUAAAUCAAAGAAUGUCUAAUAGCAAAGACAAAAACUUGCUUAAGAGAAAUGCAUACAGGUACUAGACCUAAUAUGAUGAAAAAUGCUAACUUCAACAUAUUGAUGCAUGCUUAGUAUACUUUUAGUCCUGCAAAGACAAAAGUUUUUUGUUUGUUUUUUUUUGAGACGGAGUCUCGCUCUGUCGCCCAGGUUGGAGUGCAGUGGUGUGAUCUCGGCUUACUGCAAGCUCUGCCUCCUGGGUUCACACCAUUCUCCUGCCUCAGCCUCCGGAGUAGCUGGGACUACAGGCGCCCGCCACCACGCCCGGCUAAUUUUUUGUAUUUUUAGUAGAGAUGGGGUUUCACCGUGUUAGCCAGGAUGGUCUCGAUCUCCUGACCUCAGGUGAUCCGCCUGCCUUGGCCUCCCAAAGUGCUGGGAUUACAGGCAUGAGCCACCGCACCUGGCCCAGUCCUGCCAAGACAAAGUUUUAAAACACAGGUUGCACAUUGGCAGCUCUCAAGCCAAAUCUGGCCCAUAGACAUGGUUUGCUUGGCCUAUAAUGUUAGUAAUACUUGACCCAAGAUUUAAAAUUUGAAAAGUUUCAUAUAAAAAUAUAGAUUUACAGCUUUUCUAGAAAAACUAUAAGAGUUAACAGUUUCUGAAUUGCAACAGCAGCUGGAACACCGUUGCCACUGACCAUUUAGAUGACUGCUGCAGUCCCCACGGCUCACUCUGGUUCAGGUAGGGGUUCUAGUUUGUAACCCCUGGUUUAAAACAUAACUGACUCUCUAGUUUUUAAAAUUCUCUCAAAAUCAAAUAACCUGAACUAGCAAAUGAUCUAGAUCCUCGUACAUGGAACUCAUACUAAGUUGACCACAGACAGUGGCUCCCAAACUCUGCAGUACAUCAGAGUCACUGGGAAGCUUUAAAAAAUCCUGCUCCCUAGCUGGGUGCAGUGGUUUAUGCCUGUAGCCCCAGCUACUUGAGAGGCUGAGGUGGGAGGAUUGCUCAAGCCCAGGAGUUUGAGGCUGCAGUGAGCCAUGAAUGUACCACUACACUCCAGCCUGGGCAACAGAGCAAGACCCCAACUCUAAAAAAAAAUCCUGCUCCCCAGGUGACAGUAUCUGGGGGAAGGAGUAAGGCAUCUUAUUUUCAAAAGAUCAUAAGAAAAGAGGCUCAUUGCUGAGGCUCACUCCGGAGCCCACUUGGAUUCUUCACAAGAAAGUUUCCCUCUUCCAGAAUUUUAUAAUUGAGGGAACCGACUAGGGAAAGAUUAAUUUGCCCAAGGUCAAACAACUAGUAAAAGAAGUAAGGAUUCCAACCCAGAUCUUUUGACUCUAUUAUCCUUACAUAUAGUUUUAUAGUGAUUUAAAUUGAUACAAGGAUAGGUUUAAAUACAAGUAGAAUGCAGGUUCAUAUAAAACUGAUUUUAUCCUCAUGUUAGAAAACAUAUACACUGUAACAGAGGGAUGACCAUCAAGUGACCAAGAUAUUUUAGUCAAAAGAUGAAUUUUUCUGCAAUUGGAGAAUGCCAAAAAUAUUCAAAGAAAAUAUAAGUCUUGUAGGCAGUCUUCUAUCAAAACCCACUGAACCGCUGGGCACGGUGGCUCAUGCCUGUAAUUCCAGCACUUUGGGAGGCCAAGGCUGGUGGAUCACCUGAGGUCAGGAGUUUGAGACCAGCCUGGCCGACAUGGUCUCUACUAAAAAUACAAAAAAUUAGCUGGGCCUGGUGGCGGCACCUGUAAUCCCAGCUACUGAGGAGGCUGAGGCAGGAGAAUUGUUUGAACCUUGGAGGUAGAGGCUGCAGUGAGCUGAGAUAGCACCACUGCACUCCAGCCUGGGUAACAAGAGUGAAACUCCAUUCAAAAACAAAAAACAAACAAAAAAAAAACAAUGCACCAAAUACUAAGUUAUUAACUAGGAUACUGAUUAUUAAGCAUGUAAAACAUUUUAUGGAACUCAGAGUUUGAUGUAAAUUGCUAUAUUUUAUAAUUCAAACAAACCUUGUUUCAUGUCAUUAUAUUAGAGUAGCAUUAUGAGACAGGAUAUAGUGUAAGCUAUAUCCCCAAUAUAAUUGCAACUGUAUAUUUUAAAGCAUGGGGAAAAUAUGAAAAGAAUUAUGCUCAAAUGUGGGUAGGAUUAUAACUGAUUUGUUUUCUUCAUUUUCAGAUUUUUCUAUAAUGACUAUACAUUAUUUUUAUAGUCAAAAAUAGAAGUAUUUUAAAUGUUUCUAGGUAGAAUAGCAAAUUAGCUGAAAUAGUAUCUCCAACGUUAUUAUCAAGACUAGACUCCUUGGGUAAAUUGGUCAGAACAGUGUUGUUCUCAUUUUACACCUCUCCAAGAUUAACUAUGUUUUAGAUUUGUGUGUGUGUUUGGUUAAAGAGCCAGGAUGAAGAUCCAGAGUUCUUAAACCUGUAUACCACCAUACUACAUUGUCAUUUUAAAGAAAUGUCUAGUAGACUCGGUGGCAUAAACAUGGGCCAUUUACAAACUAGAUGUCUAAUAUCAGAUACCUCAAAUUUGACAGUAGACUUUUUUUCAAAGCUAAAGUGGUCUUAUGUUGACUAUUUUGUUUCUUACUUGAUACUUGUUUACUUUUUAAUUUUUGGCAAGUAAUGUUUCAAGUUAAAGUUUUAGCUAUAUAUAGCAGGCAGUAUUUCAAGUAAAUGAGUUACAUCAGUAAACACCUCUGUAUUACUAAACUGAGAAUCAGAAAAUGUAAUCUCUUUGGCAGGAUUCGUAUGUUUGUAUCACGUCUUUAUCCUCAGGCAACUUUUAUCUUGGAAUACUGAACCAGCAGUCAGAAUAUGAGGGACAUUAGACUGUGUUAUAGUUACUGUUCUGUCCUUAAGUCACUUGCCUUCUCUAAGUGUCAGUUGCCUCAUCUGAAAAUGGAGUUAGCAGACCCCAGCCUAUCCUGAGUUUGAGGGCUAAAGGGAAUUAUUCUUGAAAAUGUCUAUACAUGAUAAAUGUCACAAAUAUAACUUAGCAUUUUUUUUUUGAGACAGAGUUUCGCUCUUGUGGCCCAGGUCGGGGUGCAAUGUCGUGAUCUCAGCUCACUGCAACCUCUGCCUCCCGGGUUCAAGCGAUUCUCCUGCCUCAGCCUCCUGAGUAGCUGGGAUUACAGGCAUGCACCACCACACCUGGCUAAUUUUGUAUUUUUUAAUAGAGACGGGGUUUCACCAUGUUGGUCAGGUUGGUCUCGAACUCCUACCCUCCGGUGAUCCACCCGCCUUGGCCUCCCAAAGUGCUGGGAUUACAGGCAUGAGCCACCGCACCUAGCCAAUUCUACUUCUAUUACAUUUUCAGCAUAUAUCACUUCAUUGCUCCUCCAUAUUAUUUUUCACUGGUCUUCUUACAUCUUGUGUGCCCAUAUUUAAGUAGUUUUCUUUCCAGGUAAAAAAUACAUGUGUGCCUAAAAGAUUUUAAAGUCAACUUUUCAUAAACCAUACCUAAAUUAUCAAAGUUAUUAGAAUUAUUAGAAAGUAUUAGCUAAUUCUUUUAUAAAAUGUAGACUUUAUUAUUUUAGAAAUAUUGAUUCCUCUCUAUUCAGCUAUCUUAAAGAGGGUAUAUUUUAAUCAUCGCAAUAUAUUACCUUCAUAGUAUUUUUUACUUUUGCAAAGUAUAUUUUGUCAUGUUAUUUCAUUUAGGAAUGCACUAAAUCUACAUAUCUACAUAUGAUUAUACAAGGAAACAUCUUUGUCUCAAAAAUGGGUUCUAUUACAUUUUUUAAUUUCCAGGGGUCAUGAUAUAUAAAAAGACCUGAUUUAUCUUAAAAAUACAUACUUUUAUUCUUACCUACCAUACAUCUUUUUUUGUGAUAAUCAGAAGGCUUAAUUUACUAUAAAAUAGGAAAACAACAGCUAUGUUAGAUUAUAUAGUUAAUUUAGGGAUUAAAUGAGUUAAGGUCUACAAGCCCCUGGCACAUGGCAGACAAUCAAUAAUUGAUCAUUUCCUUUGCAUCUAUAAAUUUGUUCAUUCACUUCUCAUGUGGUUCUACCUUAGACAACGAUUUUUGUUUACAGAGACAAAUAGAAGUAUCUAAUCCUAAAUAACCCAAUCAAUUGGUAAAGGCUACACUACAAAGCUGGCAUGACUUCACCAAAUGCUAGAGAAACAGUGUUAAGAGUGACAACACUAAAAGUCUUACACUCUGAUGAUGCUAGUUGCCGCCGAAUUGCUUCCCCUACCAGUUCCUUAAGUUUCUUCUUAUGAUCCCGGCUGGUUUUCUUAUAGAAAUAAAGAUCUUUUUCCAACUGCUGGAUUUUAUCUUCAUAUGUUUUGAAAGUUUCCAUAAUGCCUUCUCCAUCUUGUUCUAUACAACAAAAAUUUGCAUUUAAAAUCAGUUUUAAAUAAAUGAUGCAAAAUUAUGUUUUUGUUUGUUUCUUUGUCUUUUUGAAACGGAGUCUUGCACUGUCGCCCAGGCUAGAGUGCAGUGGCGUGAUAUGCUCGGCUCACUGUAAGCUCCGCCACCCAGGUUCACACCAUUCUCCUGCCUCCGCCUCCCAAGUAGCUGGGACUACAGGUGCCCAGCACCACGCCCGGCUAAUUUUUUUGUAUUUUUAGUAGAGACGAGGUUUCAUCAUGUUAGCCAGGAUGGUCUCGAUCUCCUGACCUCGUGAACUGCC